UACGUAGGGGGCAAGCGUUGUCCGGAUUUACUGGGCGUAAAGCGCGCGUAGGCGGAAGCUCAAGUCUGGCCUGAAAGCCCCCGGCUCAACCGGGGAGUGGGGCUGGAAACUGGGUUUCUUGAGGGCGAUAGAGGAGUGUGGAAUUCCUGGUGUAGCGGUGAAAUGCGUAGAGAUCAGGAGGAACACCAGUGGCGAAGGCGGGUCUCUGGGCAGUAACUGACGCUGAGGAGCGAAAGCGUGGGGAGCGAACAGG
rnacentral:rRNA from 1 species